UCAUGGUGCUUCCAACCAUAGCACCUCACAAGGGUACCUAUCAACUUGCCACCGACUCGCUCGGCGUCCCCUACGGAAAGUCUGGCUUCGGUGCCUUCCCUUAAAGGGAUGUCACCAGAUAAAGGCUCGGGGCUCUUUGCAAAUUCAUGCUUAUGGCUUUGAUACCAACCUGUGACGCCCCCGAAUCCGGGUACUUGAAACCCGUACUCAGUGCUUCACGAUACCAUUUCUAUAAGCUGAAUAAUACAAUAGUAAUAUUACAUUCAAACUUAAUUUACAUACAUCAAAGUUUACUUCCC
rnacentral:lncRNA from 1 species